rnacentral:lncRNA from 1 species
ACCCCGCAGCAUGCCCCGCGGGCGAGCCUGGACGCAGGCGGAGGUCGGCAGCCUCCUGGCGCUGGUGGGAGGCUCAGGGGAGGCCGCCCUGCUGAUGGCCUCCACGUCGCGGCCCAACGAGGCGCUGUGGCAGGAGAUCUCCCGGGGGCUGGCGGCGGCCGGCUACGGCCGCAGCGUGGCCCAGUGCCGCUCCAAGUGGAAGGCGCUGAAGCAGGCUUUCCACUCGGAGCGGGAGACGCGCCGCCGUGCCGGGCGGCACUCGCCGCGCCUGCCCCCGCACUACCGCGCCAUGAAGAGCAUCUGGAAGGCGGCCGGGCGGCCCGUUUUCGGAGAGCGGCGGCUGCCCGAGCUGGUGAAGCCGCCCCCCCGGAGGCGCAGGUCGCUGGCCGCACGCUCGCCGACCUCGCCGGCACCGCCAGCUGCUGCAGAGACCCCCGCUGUGCUGCUGGCACCGCUGCUGCAGCACCCAAAGGACGAGCCGGCGAGCCCCCGCGGGGACCGCGUCGCUGGAGCAUCGCCCGACCCCGCGGCCGCCCCACGUACCAGCUGCUGCAUCCCUCCCCAUCCCCUCCUGGGCUGCCACGGCGCCCUGAAAGAGGAGAGCGCCGAGCUGAAGGCAGGUUUUCCUGGUGAGACGUCCCCGGGGAUGGGAAGAGGAAACCGAGUGCUGCCGGCGGCCACCGCAGCCCCCGGCUCCCCCGGGACGGCCGCUGCGAGCGAGCAGGCGGUGGGCGAAGAGGCAGCGGACACGAGCCUGCAAGGCGGCGGCGUGGCGGGCUUGCUGCAGAGCGUGCAGCAGCUGCUGGUGCAGAUCCUGCAGACGUCGCGGCAGCAGCAGGCGCUGCUGGAGAGCCUGGCCAGCGACACCGUCUCCCACCUCCACCUCCUCUCCCACAGCCUGGUGCAGGUGGGCGAGACCCUGCACCAGCUCCUGCUCCGGCCGCAAGCCCCCCACGGCCACUACGCCCCCCACAUCCCCCUUUUCGAGGGCGGCCCCCAGGUCCCGCUGCUCCCCGGGCUCCCCUGCGACAAGGAGGAGCCCCGGGUGUCCCCCGACGCCGGCUGCGCCCCGCCGUGAGGGCGCGCACCCCUGCAGCCGAGGAUAUUUUAGAAGUUUAUAGAAGAGACAGAUUUUAAUAACAUUAAAAAUAGCUUUUGUACCAGCAGCGCCGAUCAACCAGUUCUUUUGCUUGAACGUCCCGGGGGGGGACCUUCCCCUUCUCGCUUUCGAAAUGAGCGGAAGGGGAACUGGGCUAUUUACAGCCCCCCAGGAACUCCCCGGCUGCCCCCCGCGCCCCCCACUCGGCCCUCUGCAGCCGGUGGCCGCGCGGGGCGAGUGACACCGGGCAGCCGUGGGUGGCAUUGGGCCACCUCUCCCCGGCACCUGCUGGCCCAGCUCCCAGCCCGGCCGCUGUCUGGGAAAGCACCGGCACCGUGCCUCGUCCCACGCCGGCUCCACGGGGGGGGCACAGCUCCCAUGGGGGCACAAAGACCCUGCCCGGUGCUCCCCGGUGCCAUGGGGGCGGUGGG